GAUGAACGCUGGCGGCGUGCUUAACACAUGCAAGUCGAACGAUGAAGCCCAGCUUGCCGGGUGGAUUAGUGGCGAACGGGUGAGUAACACGUGAGUAACCUGCCCUUAACUCUGGGAUAAGCCUGGGAAACUGGGUCUAAUACCGGAUAGGAGCGUCCACCGCAUGGUGGGUGUUGGAAAGAUUUAUCGUUUUUGGAUGGACUCGCGGCCUAUCAGCUUGUUGGUGAGGUAAUGGCUCACCAAGGCGACGACGGGUAGCCGGCCUGAGAGGGUGACCGGCCACACUGGGACUGAGACACGGCCCAGACUCCUACGGGAGGCAGCAGUGGGGAAUAUUGCACAAUGGGCGCAAGCCUGAUGCAGCGACGCCGCGUGAGGGAUGACGGCCUUCGGGUUGUAAACCUCUUUCAGUAGGGAAGAAGCGAAAGUGACGGUACCUGAAGAAGAAGCACCGGCUAACUACGU
rnacentral:rRNA from 1 species